UACGAAGGGGCUAGCGUUGCUCGGAAUUACUGGGCGUAAAGCGCACGUAGGCGGAUUGUUAAGUCGGGGGUGAAAUCCUGGAGCUCAACUCCAGAACUGCCUUCGAUACUGGCGAUCUCGAGUUCGGGAGAGGUGAGUGGAACUGCGAGUGUAGAGGUGAAAUUCGUAGAGUAUUCGCAAGAACACCAGUGGCGAAGGCGCUCACUGGCCCGGUACUGACGCUGAGGUGCGAAAGCCA
rnacentral:rRNA from 1 species